rnacentral:rRNA from 1 species
GAUUUCUGGCACGAUACGCCUGGCCCGCCGCGGUUUCGCGUGUGAGUGCCGGGUCGAAUCUGCCAUCCUUCCAGAGAACGGUCCUACCCUUCACUGGGCCGGGGCCGCACAUCUGGAUCGUUUACUUUGAAAAAAUUAGAGUGUUUCAAGCAGGCGACUCGCUGUGAAUACAUUAGCAUGGAAUAAUAACUUAGGACUUCGGUUCUAUUUUGUUGGUUUCUAGAACUGAAGUAAUGAUUGAUAGGGAUAGUUGGGGGUGCUAGUAUUCAGCGGCCAGAGGUGAAAUUCUCGGAUUCGCUGAAGACUAACUUAUGCGAAAGCAUU